GCCCAAAUNUUUUUGCUUUUUUUGCCCCAUCAUUUCCAAAUUCCAAGACAGAGAGGGCCAAAAGAAAUNUAAUUUCUCCCCCCCUNUUGGUCUUGUAAAUGGAAUGAUGGGAAUCUAAACCCCUUCCAGAGUAUCAAUUGGAGGGCAAGUCUGGUGCCAGCAGCCGCGGUAAUUCCAGCUCCAAUAGCGUAUAUUAAACUUGUUGCAGUUAAAAAGCUCGUAGUUGAAUUUCUGCUGUUUCGUUGACUGCGUUUGGCGUUUGUCAUCGUUGCGGCUUGGUUGGGUUUCGAUUAUUCGUUUCCCGGCGUUUACUUUGAGAAAAUUAGAGUGCUUGAAGCAGGCUUUUGCCUUGAAUACUUUAGCAUGGAAUAACGGAGUAGGACUUUGGUUCUAUUUUGUUGGUUUUAGGAGCCAGAGUAAUGGUUAAUAGGAACAGUUGGGGGCAUUCGUAUUUGACUGUCAGAGGUGAAAUUCUUAGAUUUGUCAAAGACGAACUACUGCGAAAGCAUUUGCCAAGGAUGUUUUCAUUAAUCAAGAACGAAAGUUUGGGUUUCGAAUACGAUCAGACAUCGUGGUAGUCAGAAAUCAAGUGUCUAGGAGAGAAACCC
rnacentral:rRNA from 1 species